GUGGGGAAUAUUGGACAAUGGGCGAAAGCCUGAUCCAGCCAUGCCGCGUGUGUGAAGAAGGUCUUCGGAUUGUAAAGCACUUUAAGUUGGGAGGAAGGGCAGUAAGUUAAUACCUUGCUGUUUUGACGUUACCGACAGAAUAAGCACCGGCUAACUUCGUGCCAGCAGCCGCGGUAAUACGAAGGGUGCAAGCGUUAAUCGGAAUUACUGGGCGUAAAGCGCGCGUAGGUGGUUUUGUAAGUUGGAGGUGAAAUCCCCGGGCUCAACCUGGGAACUGCAUCCAAAACUGCAUGACUAGAGUACGGUAGAGGGUAGUGGAAUUUCCUGUGUAGCGGUGAAAUGCGUAGAUAUAGGAAGGAACACCAGUGGCGAAGGCGACUACCUGGACUGAUACUGACACUGAGGUGCGAAAGCGUGGGGAGCAAACAGGGUUAGAUACCCUUGUAGUCC
rnacentral:rRNA from 1 species